GACGAACGCUGGCGGCGUGCUUAACACAUGCAAGUCGAACGGUAAGGCCCCUUCGGGGGUACACGAGUGGCGAACGGGUGAGUAACACGUGAGCAACCUGCCCUUGACUCUGGAAUAACAGUUGGAAACAGCUGCUAAUACUGGAUAUGCACUUAUCUCUUCCUGGGGGUGAGUGGAAAGCUCCGGCGGUCAGGGAUGGGCUCGCGGCCUAUCAGCUUGUUGGUGAGGAAUGGCUCACCAAGGCUUCGACGGGUAGCCGGCCUGAGAGGGCGACCAGCCACACUGGGACUGAGAUACGGCCCAGACUCCUACGGGAGGCAGCAGUGGGGAAUAUUGCACAAUGGGCGCAAGCCUGAUGCAGCAACGCCGCGUGCGGGAUGACGGCC
rnacentral:rRNA from 1 species